UACGUAGGGUCCGAGCGUUGUCCGGAAUUAUUGGGCGUAAAGAGCUCGUAGGCGGUUUGUCGCGUCUGCUGUGAAAACUAGAGGCUCAACCUCUAGCCUGCAGUGGGUACGGGCAGACUUGAGUGGUGUAGGGGAGACUGGAAUUCCUGGUGUAGCGGUGGAAUGCGCAGAUAUCAGGAGGAACACCGAUGGCGAAGGCAGGUCUCUGGGCACUUACUGACGCUGAGGAGCGAAAGCGUGGGGAGCGAACAGGAUUAGAUACCCUGGUAGUCCACGCCGUAAACGUUGGGCGCUAGAUGUGGGGACCUUUCCACGGUUUCCGUGUCGUAGCUAACGCAUUAAGCGCCCCGCCUGGGGAGUACGGCCGCAAGGCUAAA
rnacentral:rRNA from 1 species